AAAGGAAAGAUGUUCCCUGGUGUCAGAUACCCUGGCUAACCAGACCCAGAAGCACAGAGCAGGUGCUUGGCUUUUGUUCCUGGGUCCCUGUGCCCGGCCCCACAGUCCAAAGCCUCUCUAGACAAAAGCCACAGCUCCUGCCUCCUCUGCAUAUCCAGGAUCUGCGUCGACUGAGAAGAGUCUGCUUCCUCCUCCCGACCCCUUGUUUCAAGGCUAGAGAUAACAGAGACGGGAACCACAUCUCAACAGAGGAAACCAGGAAGCAGGACCUCCGAUGCUAAGGAUUUCACCAGACGAGGAUGAGGAUUUUGUCAUUGUCUGAAGAAAACCUUCAAGUGCCCUAAGUAACCUUCUGGUGUCUGGGAAUAGGAUCAACAACCAGGGGAAAGAUCUAAAUCGGCUAUCUGGCUCUGAACCAUCCUGAUGAAGCAUCCUGAUGAACAUCAGAGGCAGCCUUGAAGGAGCAAAGACAGCACCAUAUGGCAGCCUCCCAGGAAUCCAAACUAGAAAAGUGAAAGGGAGCUGCCACCCCCCAGCAGUUCCUAUCAAUACAGCAGUGAAACCCCAUUCUCUCAGCACACCACCUCGCUUUCCAUCUUUCAUGGAAGUCUGGAAGAAGGAUUAUCUGGAGACUCCCAGGGCUCCUAACCCAUUAAGAAGGCUGAAGUCUGGCAACCCCAGCAGGUCAAGUGACUCUUCUCUAAGGUCCACAGGAAAGAGCACUAGGGAGUCUUCCUGUGGAAGAAAUGAGUGUUCAUGGUGAUUCUCAUCCAUCUGCUUUCCUAGGAAGCAAAGACUCCCUGCAGACCUCCCUUGUGGAGUAGGAAGCUGAUUUUGUAGUCUCAAAGAGGCCGUGUAAUUAUUUAUUUACACCCUACUCCUUGCUCUGAAGAUUGGGAGAUGCUCUAGGAUAAAAGCAAAGGUCUAGUAGGGCCAAAACAUUUUUUAAAAAGUUAAAUGGCAUAAAACAAGAAAUGGGAGGCUGGUACGAGGGAAGAAUUUGUAAAUUAAGUUCAGCAAAAGAAACCUACAGUAAAAAAACAAAAAACUUGGUGGCCAGAGUAAAUAGUACAACCAAAGCAUUUAUAAACUAACAGAGCUCUUGUUUCGAAGGUUUGAGAGGUAAGGGUGAGUCAUGCAUGCCUAUGGCUGGAGUUCUCAAGAAAAUUGCACAGCAUGCCUGAGACUUUCCCAUUGGUUUUAGGUGGUUAAAAAUCUUCCAGGAAGGGGGGCACAAUGCCUGUUUUCAAUGCACUCCUGUAUCAUUUACUCUCAUUUUGCCAGGCAAUCAUACCCUAUUAUUAUUAUUUCUUAAUGUGUGUGCAUUGCCUCCUCUAGAUUAUAGACUCCUUGAGGGCAAGAAUUCUAUUUUAUACUUUUUCUAUAUUGUCCUCCAACCUCUAGCCCCUAAAAUAAUAUAAAUUCUUCUUAAAUGGAAAUGGAAAUUCUUAGUCCUGUAGGCCAAAUUACUUAUAAUCUUAAUCUCCACAUAUUCUCUAGUUACUAGAAGACAACAGGGAAGCCCUUUCUCUGUUUGAGUGAGCAGAAUAAGAGAUUAAUGAAAAACUAUAGCUGGAGGGGAAAUAGAGAACAUAAGCUAGAAACGAGAGACAUUCCAGAUAGGAGUUUUCAAGUAGAGGGUUAGGGGUGGAAGAGAUGAACAGUUCUGCAAGGAUUUGAGACCAGAAACACUUCGUGGAGUCACAUUUUCUUUACACUGAUUACAUUCUUAUUCCUAGGCAGAUUAUCUGCCUUGUUCCUUUUUAAUUUCUUGGGAAGGUGCUAAGGCAGACAGUCCUGGAGUAUCCUGCAAAAGAGUACUAGGUGAGAACAGAGCAGGAAGACACAUCAUGGGAAUGGUGGUGAUCAAGCUCAAGUAAGCCAGCAAUGAAUCACUUCCCCGCUGGGUCUUGAGAUGCAGAUAUGCCAGCCAUCCCUAUGAAGCCAUCACUCACCUUAAAAACAAAAAUGAAAAACCCUACUGCCUGGGCUUCCCUGGUGGCGCAGUGGUUGAGAAUCUGCCUGCCAAUGCAGGGGACACGGGUUCGAGCCCUGGUCUGGGAAGAUCCCACAUGCCGCGGAGCAGCUGGGCCCGUGAGCCACAAUUACUGAGCCUGCGCGUCUGGAGCCUGUGCUCCGCAACAAGAGAGGCUGCGAUAAUUAGAGGCCCGCACACCGCGAUGAAGAGUGGCCCCCACUUGCCACAACUAGAGAAAGCCCUCGCACAGAAACGAAGACCCAA